CGGCAACAGCUCAAAUUUGAAAUCUGGCUCUUUCAGGGUCCGAGUUGUAAUUUGUAGAAGAUGCUUCGGGUGUAGCACCGGUCUAAGUUCCUUGGAACAGGACGUCAUAGAGGGUGAGAAUCCCGUCUUUGAC
rnacentral:rRNA from 1 species